GAGUUGAUCGGGUGAGAGAGGAGGCUGAGAUUGAGGAGGAGUCAGGCCGAGAAGGAGAAGAGAAUGUCACGCAAGGGAGAGACAAUCAAGGAAACCAGAAGGGGAGAAGGAAACACAGCCGAAAAGGGAAAGGAGGAGGUGUCGCGGAGGCGGAAAGUCGAAGGGAAGGGAAGAAAAAGGAAUCGCGACUAAAAAUCACCGUGUUGCACGUGACAUCAGUGUCCGAAAAUUGGCAAGUUUCGUCCUUUCCAUUUCUUUUUCAAGAUUUCCUUUUCUUAUUUCACUCUAACCGACGUGUAGGUGUGAAACCAAUUAACCAAUCUUCGAAGCAAGCAAGGAGUGCUCUCGGGGAACCAAGGAGAUCAUCCUCUGGAAGCUAGGAGUCGAACCUGAGGUUGUUCGGGUUUUCGGAGCGCCACACCUGAACCAGGUGCGUUCCUUUUCCUCUUUCGGUGUGUGUUCUUGACGAAAUGGGUAUUCAUAUGUGUGUGUGCAGGUUUUGGAAGCUAAAGUACUCACCUCGCUACAGUGAGAGAAGGUUUUCUCAGGAAAAUUAGAAAUCGUCUCUGGUAGUGAAAAUCAGAAAAAGUGAAGCUGUUUGGCCUUCACAGCACCAAAUCGAAUUCAGUAACUUUCCUUUUCCUUCCUCGUUGUCAACUUUGGUUAAUAUGGUGCCGAUACGUAUAUAUGUGUAUACGUGUAGAUUUUCGAAACCCAAAUCAUCCAUCCCUACGCAAGGAGUUGAAGUGGUGGUUCGCCGAAUAUCGAAAAACAAGAUUGUUGUUGGUAAUUACCAAAAACGACC
rnacentral:lncRNA from 1 species